UAUUAAAAAUUUCAUCCAUUUCUACUGUUAAAAACUGCCUUGGCUGAUAGAAUAACCAGGCAAUUCACGCCACGUGUACCUCAUUUUGACAUACAAGGUUUAGUUUUAACAGUAGAAAUGAAUGAAAUUUUUAACA
rfam:Gossypium raimondii Chr10_contig_1442, whole genome shotgun sequence.